UGAGGAUGCAAACAUUAGCUCACACUUCUUUAAUGACAAUGUGAUGUUGCACCAGGUUAUUAUUGAUGGAAUUGGCAUCUUUUCUAUGUGCGUUGGGAGAGAUUUUUCUUCAUCAGGAUUUCUUCAUUCAUCUCUUUAUAUGUUGCUUCACAAUCUUAUUUGCUCUCACUUCCAAAUUAGAAGUGCAUCUGAUGCUGUGUUACACAUUAUCGCCACAAUGCAUGACUAUCCAACAGUAGGACACUUGGUUAUAGAAAAUUCAGACUAUAUAA
rnacentral:misc_RNA from 1 species